UUCUUAUUCAGAGAGGUGGAGGGACUGGCCCUUAGAUACCUCGGCAACGGACCAAUGAACAGGAUGUUCAUAAGGAACCGUGCCAAUUCCUGCGGCGAAAGUCGGAAAAUAAGAA
rnacentral:ncRNA from 2 species